CUCAGUGGUAUUGUAUGCCAAAAAUUAUAAAUUAAAACAAAUAUAAACUAUGCCCUGACACGAAGGCGGUUUUAAGUUUUAGUGUAUAAUUUACUAAAAUAUAUAUGUAAUUGUUCACAAGCGCAUGGGCGGUUUUAAGUCAAGGCGCUUGGACACUAUUAUGUGUAUAUUCAGUACGCAUUGAGCAAGUAAUCAUACGAAGAUACAAACCACGGAACCAGAUUAGAGAUCACCGAGCUCCAAAGGAACAACCUCCAGAUACAGCAGAAUACCAGAAAAUAAUCUCAAGUUUCUCAAGUUUAAUCACGUUUAAUGAAUUUAUUUGUUUUUUUAAAAUACUUUAAAAUACAACAUUCUGUGGUCUGACAUCGACGAGUUAGAAAGAUACUCGCCCCGUUUGUUGGUGUUAGUGCUCCCCCAUACCUCGUUAUGUGCAUUGGCAUCGCAACCGAGUGUAAGCGGUAGUGUUUUUUUCUUACACUAGUCCUGUGAAGCAAAAUUUUAUAACACUUUUCUUCUUAAAAUAUAUAUUGAAGUAAUAGAAAAAUUUAAUAAAGCUAAACAAAAUUUCACUCACAUAUUAGGAA